AUUCAAACACAAGCGGGCGGUCGAUUGUUCUGCUAAUGAUGGGGGGGGGUGAUGACACAAAAUAAUAAUAACCCACAUUUGUGAAACAUUUUUGAAAAGUGAUCUGUACCCCUAACUCCUGUAGAUAAAGAAGGCAUGUAGCUCCCAAUUUUCUUUGGCUGGGGUGCAGACAUGUCUGUUUAAUGCAGGAAACAUCAUCCAUUAGUGCUGAGACUUGAUUAGGAAUUUAAUUUGACCAAACUUUUAUUACUGGCUUUCGGUGGAAAAGUUGAGUUGUUGGGUUGUCUGAAUGGUGAAAUUCUGAUCUGUUUAAAGUUUAAGAUUUAUAAACCUGCUUCCUAAGCAGCAAGAAACAGGAAAGCAUAUGUAUCAGAAAUGUCUUAGGACAUCAAACUGGGAAAAUGGAUUUUAAACUGACUGAACAAGUUUUUGGCCCUUGGGAAUUUGGUCUCUUACAUCUACCCCUUUCCCCUUCCUUGAGUCCCUUGUAAGAAAAGCCAGUCAUGGCUUUAUUCCAAUGGUAAUUUAGUCAGGAGAUUUAAUACUUUAAAUGGUAUAAUAGAUUGCUGAAUCAUGAACCCUGUGCAUGUACAGAGGCUAUGUUAGUUGAAAAGAAAAGAAAAAGGAGGUUUAAACCAAGAGGUGACAAAGCUAUGCCCUGCACAUGGAACUUUAUUCAAAUUUCUUUAGGUAAAAUUGGGAGCCAUUGAGGAAGCUGCAGUGAGAACUACCCCUUUGUGGGCUUUGUGUAAAAAUGUAAGUUGCCCUAAAUCUUUGCCCCAGGGGCUACUUAAGAAGAAACAAUAGUUAAGUACAGAACCAUUAACAACUAUCAACAAUAGAAAAAAGGUUCCCAGAUUUUAAUCUAACAUGCAAAUUUUCGUAUGUAUUUCAACUAUAUGUAAUAGCCUUUUUUUCUAUUUUGGUGUGACCUUAUUCUUAGCAAUUCUAUGCCCAUGGCUACACAGUGAUUUAUUUAUUUUUACAGAAAGUAGCUUUAAUGCUUUACACUUAAAGUACCUAGGCCUAUACAAUUAUGUUUAACAGCAUGUGAGGUGGCCUUGAUUUAAACAGUUGACGUUUCUAUAUUUUUAUUUAGUGCCAGUAACUGGUUUUUGCAGUGCUAUUCAAAGGUACAAGGUGCCAUUUACCAGAGAUUGACAUACUGAAAUAUAUUAUCAUAUAAUGAUAAGACCAAAAUUAUGGUCUUUGGGAAGCGUAGUCCCAGAUCCAAAUGGAAAAUGGAUCAGCAGAAUCUGGAGCAAACAUGCUCCUUCAGAUAUCUGGGAGUUCUCUUCACUGAGACGCUGUCAUGGAAGGGGCACAUUGAGGCUACGAAACUCAAAGCGCAGAAAGCUUGUGGGGCAUUAAUGAAAUUCUAUUUUACAGUGGGUGGCCAGUUACUAGAACCUGUGUUGAAAAUCUUUGCCAGCGAAGUGGUUUCCCAGAUGCUCUAUGGAAUAGCGAUAUGGGGCAUGGACCCAAAGGCUAACAAAGCCUUAGAAAUAGUGCAAAACAAAUUCCUCAGGAAAGUGCUCUCGCUCCCCAACGGGAUCCCGGCUGCACUUCUUCGUGCUGAAGCUGACGUGACAACAAUACAGGCUAGAAUUGAUUACCUGUGCCUAAAUUAUGUGAAAAGACUUCAAUCUCUUUCGGAGAAGAGAUUUCCUGCUAUGUCUUACAUAGAACAGGAACAGACCAAAUGCUGGAAGGCUGGCAUCCAACGUCUCUUGUCCCAGUAUCAAUUACAAGAUCUUCAGAUGAUCACGAAGAUGGAUAAGAGGCACUUAAGAGACUGUCUCUUUAGGUCUGAUGCAGAAAGGGAUCUAACCAUGAUUGCUUCUACCAAGAGCUCACCAUGGUUCCCACUUAUCAAAACGGAGCAUGCCCAAGCCAGAUACCUGACAAAGCUCCCACUUGCCGUACUAAGAAUUGCUUUUACAGAACUACGAUUCCAAUUGAUGCCCUCGGCGGUGUUGGAUGGACGGUAUGGCAAAGUACAUUAUGAAGAGAGACUCUGUCUGCGUGGACAACCCUGCGUCGAGGACCUGUGCUGUUAUUUAUUGCAGUGCCUGUUAUAUAUAGACCCAAGAGACCGAUUUAUAAAACCCCUGUUUACGAAUGGAACACAUUUGAAUAGGGUGGAAGGGGUGAAAUGGGUGCUGAGCGACACCAACGACUUUGUUACUUAUAAAGUAGCACUCUAUGUGCUGGCAGCUAAGAAGAUCAGGAACUAGACAAAAUAGCGGUCAACUGCAAAGGGGAUUCGGAUACUUAAUUUGGCACAUCUUACUUGAGAAUCUUCUGCUAUUCUAUUCUAUUUAAUACAACAAAUAAUUUUAGUAGCCGUGACCGUGGUUUUAUUGUAUGUGUGGUGCCCGAUGAUUUUUAUGGUUGUUUUUUGUUCUCCUGAAUGUUGCCAUGGCCUAUUGGCUAGUGCAAUAAAAAGUUUUAAUUGGAAUUAUAAUGAUAUUAUAUUUAAUGUUAAUGGCUUCUUUUUUAUAUGUAUGCAUAUAGUUUUGUUUAUCAAGCUGUGUUUUAGUCACCAAAACAGUUAUUAAGUGUUAGAGCUAUUAGAAGCACAAGAUAGCCUAUUACUGAAUUUACUUGUAUCAAACCUUAACAUGCCAGCUGUAUUUCUUGACUUGUCCUAUAACAUGUACAUGUUCUAAUGGAAGAAUAAAAUAUGAUUUAACUA
rnacentral:lncRNA from 1 species